UACGUAGGGUGCGAGCGUUGUCCGGAAUUAUUGGGCGUAAAGAGCUCGUAGGCGGUGUGUCGCGUCGGCCGUGAAAACCUGCAGCUUAACUGUGGGCUUGCGGUCGAUACGGGCAGACUAGAGUGUGGUAGGGGAGACUGGAAUUCCUGGUGUAGCGGUGAAAUGCGCAGAUAUCAGGAGGAACACCGAUGGCGAAGGCAGGUCUGCUGGCCGACUACUGA
rnacentral:rRNA from 1 species